rnacentral:rRNA from 1 species
UACGUAGGGUGCGAGCGUUAAUCGGAAUUACUGGGCGUAAAGCGUGCGCAGGCGGUUUUGUAAGCCAGAUGUGAAAGUCCAGGGCUCAACCCUGGGAUGCCGGUCGAUACUGCCGGACUAGAGUUCGGAAGAGGCGAGUGGAAUUCCCGGUGUAGCGGUGAAAUGCGCAGAUAUCGGGAGGAACACCAAUGGCGAAGGCAGCUCGCUGGGACGUUACUGACGCUGAGACGCGAAAGCGUGGGGAGCAAACAGG